rnacentral:rRNA from 1 species
CGCGUAGGCGGGUGUUUAAGUCAGAGGUCAAAUCCCAGGGCUCAACCCUGGAACUGCCUUUGAUACUGGGCACCUAGAGUACGGGAGAGGUGAGUGGAACUCCGAGUGUAGAGGUGAAAUUCGUAGAUAUUCGGAAGAACACCAGUGGCGAAGGCGACUCACUGGCCCGUUACUGACGCUGAGGCGCGAAAGCGUGGGGAGCAAACAGGAUUAGAUACCCUGGUAGUCCACGCCGUAAACGAUGAGUGCUAGUUGUCGGCAAGCAUGCUUGUCGGUGACGCAGCUAACGCAUUAAGCACUCCGCCUGGGGAGUACGGUCGCAAGAUUAAA